GCAGUAUGCGCUCAAUGAGCCUGACACAGUAGACAAAAUGGGGAACAUCUCAGUUCUUAACGGACGUGCCACUGACAUUGGCUGCUGUCCAACAGCUGCACGCAGGGAAACGACUUUCUGUUACAUAAUGUGGUUAUUCAAAUGUGUGCUGACAGACAACAGAGGGUGAGGGAUAAGACAACAACACAAUAAAAACCCUGCUGAUACCAACUGUUAAGUCUACAUUUGUUCAGGAGAGAGAGAGGAGACGUAUCCACAGGCAGAUUUGGAGUUUACAGACAAGGAAUGGGUCCAGCACUCUAGGGAGACCUGGAAUGCUGUCCAGGAGUGUAUAAAGAGGGCUGGAGAACGACACAAGGAGAGCGCUGACCGCCACCGCAGUGAGGCCCCUGUGUUUAACCCAGGGGAUAGAGUCUGGCUCUCGACCCGGAACCUGCCCCUCCGCCUGCCCUGCCGGAAGCUGGGUCCGCGAUUUGUGGUGCCAUUCAAAGUCCUGAGGAGAAUAAACGAGGUGUGUUAUAGGUUACAACUUCCUACAUAUUACCGCAUUAACCCCUCGUUUCAUG